rnacentral:antisense_RNA from 2 species
CAGUUUUGGUAAUUGCGGUCUUGUACACCCAGUUACCUCGGUUCAGAAGAGUUAGCGCUCAACUGCCCCCUCGAAAAAACCACCUUAGCGGGUGGUUUUUUCGU